rnacentral:lncRNA from 1 species
UGCUAUUACUGGAGUGAGCCAGCUAAGCCAAACAGACUGCUGAUGGUGAGGAGACUUAUGUUACAAAAGUCUUUAGGGUUGCUUCUCAACUAGCUCUAAACGGAGUCCUUGGUGGCUGACAUGAGGAAUCACCAUGAGAACAGCUGGGACUCAUUGACCAAUGGCAGCUGGAUGACCCACAGUCGCCAUCCACUGAAUCCUUCCAGAAACACCUGCACGUGGAGGCAGGUGUUGCUGUCUCCCCAUUUUGCAGGCAGAUGCUCGCCCACCCACCAAGGCUGAGGCCAAAGAAAAUUCUCCGAUGACAAGGCUCUGCAGGUGCCGUACAGAGCGAGUACUUUUCAGGCAGCUGGCGGAGCCCAGAGCAAGCUUCCCCCGGAGCAUCCAAAGGGGCCACUUGGCUGCGGUCGCCAUUGCGAGAACAACAGGAAACUGAGCAGGGGCUGCGCUCGUCCUGGGCAGGACAACUCUCCAUUUCCCUUCAGGCCUGGCAUUGUUUUGCUGAUGGAAGAAAAGUGGAAUGGGGCGUGAUCACACUGCCGGCUCAGCAGCUGGAAAGCUCGUGUUGGCUUAAAUGUGCACAAGGUGAGGUCCCUCUCUGCCACUGAUCCCCACCUCCUCUCACCACAGGGUGUUUUCUGAUCACCACAU